AUGGGUCUGAUUUGUUUUGUUUGCCAGACUACUUUUGGGAGUACAAACUUGCUUGUGAGACAUAUGCGAUUGAUUCAUGGAUUUCACCCUGGUAAAUCACUUCGCCUAAAGUGUGGUCAGGCAGGGUGCUGCCAUUUUUUUGGUACCUUUGCAGGCUUAAGGAAACAUUUAAACACGCGACAUGCUCAAGAAAUUGCAGAGCAUGGGGUCAGAAGUCACACUGUAGCCUGUGAUAAUGUUCCAGAUAAUGUUCUGUCCCAUGAUGUUGAAGCAGCUGGUAGCUCCCAAGACAGUAGCUCUCAAGACCUAUCAGGGACCAACAGAAGCAUUCGUGAUAUGUGUGGUUCUGCUAUUGCACAGCUUCAAGUUUCUGGUGUUGGCCAGUCUUCAUUGAAUAGUUUUGUUCUGUCCAUGGAGGAAGUGGCACUGGAGAUACAGAGUCAGGCUAAAGAAGCAGCCUUAAAAUGUGUGCAUUCACAGGAUACUAGUACAAAAGCUAAAAUUGAGCAAAGUUUUAAACAACUUGAAAAUCCUUUUACAUCAUUGAAUUCAGAUUCGAAGCGAAGCCUUUAUUUUAAAGAAAAAUAUAAAACUAUUGAGCCAGUGGAGAAAGUACUUGGUGUCAGAUUUGAGAACAGAAGAAAUAGAUGUACUGGAACUUAUGAUCAGGUAGUUGUUACAGAUAAAUUUGCUUAUGUUCCAAUUUUACAAACUCUGCAGUCAAUUCUAAGUAAUCCACAUCUUAGUGAUAUCUUUACAUCUAGUCACACUCCAAAUGAUGGUGUAUAUUGUGAUAUAAAAGAUGGGUUGUAUAUGAAAAGGCAUCCUCUUUUUUCAAGCAAAAAUUUGGCAUUGCAAAUUCAAUUAUUUUAUGAUGAAUUCGAGACCGCUAAUCCUCUUGGAUCCAAAAAAGGUGUCCAUAAAUUGGGAGGUAUAUACUUUACAUUGAGAAAUUUUCCACCAAAGUUAAAUUCAUGUUUAGUCAACAUACAUUUGUGUGCACUUUUUCAUGCCCAAGACAUUAAAACCUAUGGAUUUGACACUAUACUUGAGCCAAUAAUCAAUGACUUGAAAGUGCUGGAAACUGAUGGGAUUGAAGUUCCUGUGUUCAAAAGUCCUGUUCAUGGCAGCAUUGUACAAGUAACAGGGGAUAAUCUUGGUUUACAUGGACUGUUUGGGUUAGUAGAAUCAUUCAGUGCUCGGAAUUGUUGUCGAUUUUGUGUCAUAGACAAAAGUGAUUUUCAGACGGUUUUCUGUGAAGAUGACCAGAGUGUAUUAUUUCGAACAAAAGACAUGCAUGAAAAGCAUUGCCAUACUCUACAAACAAAUCCACAGCUACCUCAUGUAUGUGGUGUUAAGCGUUCAUGUUCAUUGAAUUCUCUGAAAUAUUUUCACACAAUUGAUAAUUUUUCUGUUGACAUAAUGCAUGAUAUUCUUGAAGGAGUUGCACAGUUUUAA
rnacentral:lncRNA from 1 species